GAAGCGAGACGGAGACGUUAAGCGAACCCAAAAAAGUAAGUCUCAGUUCGGAUUGAAGGCUGAAAUUCGCCUUCAUGAAGCCGGAAUUGCUAGUAAUGGCAGGUCAGCAUACUGCCGUGAAUACGUUCCCGGGCCUUGUACACACCGCCCGUCACACCAUGAGAGUUGGGAAUACCCGAAGCCUGUGGGCUAACGUAAGAGGCAGCAGUCGAAGGUAGAAUCAAUGAUUGGGGUGAAGUCGUAACAAGGUAGC
rnacentral:rRNA from 1 species